GACCGUGUAGCUCAGUUGGAAGAGCAUUGGGCUAGCAUUCCAAAGGUCGUAUGUUCGAAUCCCACCGUGGCCG
rnacentral:tRNA from 1 species